UAGAAUGGGGURUAAUGGGUAG
rnacentral:tRNA from 1 species